AUUGAACGCUGGCGGCAUGCCUUACACAUGCAAGUCGAACGGCAGCACGGGAGCAAUCCUGGUGGCGAGUGGCGAACGGGUGAGUAACAUAUCGGAACGUGCCCGGUCGUGGGGGAUAACGUAGCGAAAGCUACGCUAAUACCGCAUACGAUCUACGGAUGAAAGCGGGGGAUCGCAAGACCUCGCGCGAUUGGAGCAGCCGAUAUCAGAUUAGGUAGUUGGUGAGGUAAAGGCUCACCAAGCCGACGAUCUGUAGCUGGUCUGAGAGGACGACCAGCCACACUGGGACUGAGACACGGCCCAGACUCCUACGGGAGGCAGCAGUGGGGAAUUUGGACAAUGGGCGCAAGCCUGAUCCAGCAAUGCCGCGUGCAGGAUGAAGGCCUCGG
rnacentral:rRNA from 1 species